UGUGUGUGUGUGUGUGUGUGUGUGUAUAUAUGUGUAUAUAUAUAUUCAUAUAUAUAUAUAUAUAUAUACAUGCACACACACACACACAUACACA